rnacentral:rRNA from 1 species
UAGCCGUAAACGAUACUCGCUAGGUGUCGGCCACGGUGCGACCGUUGUCGGUGCCGUAGGGAAGCCGUGAAGCGAGCCACCUGGGAAGUACGGCCGCAAGGCUGAAACUUAAAGGAAUUGGCGGGGGAGCACCACAACGGGUGGAGCUUUGCGGUUUAAUUGGAUUCAACGCCGGAAAUCGUACCGGGACCGACAGCAACAUGAAGGCCAAGCUGAAGACUUUGCCGGAUUAGCUGAGAGGAGGUGCAUGGCGUAGUCGUGU